rnacentral:rRNA from 1 species
UGGGGAAUCUUGCGCAAUGCGCGACAGCGUGACGCAGCAACGCCGCGUGGGGGAAGAAGGCUUUCGGGUUGUAAACCCCUUUCAGGAGGGACGAAGCUCCGGCCGCGAAUAGCGGUCCGGAGUGACGGUACUUCCACAAGAAGCCCCGGCUAACUACGUGCCAGCAGCCGCGGUAAUACGUAGGGGGCUAGCGUUGUCCGGAAUCAUUGGGCGUAAAGAGCGCGUAGGCGGCCAGAUAAGUCCGGUGUGAAAGUCACAGGCUCAACCUGUGAAUGCCGCUGGAAACUGUUUGGCUAGAGUCCGGUAGGGGCGAGUGGAAUUCCUGGUGUAGCGGUGAAAUGCGCAGAUAUCAGGAGGAACACCAAUGGCGAAGGCAGCUCGCUGGAACGGUACUGACGCUGAGGCGCGAAAGCGUGGGGAGCGAACAGGAUUAGAUACCCUGGUAGUCCACGCCGUAAACGAUGGGUACUAGGUGUAGGAGGUGUCGAC